rnacentral:miRNA from 1 species
UCCGCUAUUCUUUCCGAAGGCCCCGCCUUCCAUGACACCCAAGCGUGUCUGGAAUGACAGAAUGGUGCUGAUGUGGCAUGAACGGCGGGAGUUGGUCCCUAAAAGGA